UAGCGAAGGGGGCUAGCGUUGCUCGGAAUCACUAGGGGCGUAAAGCGCACGUAGGCGGAUUGCUAAGUCAGGGGUGAAAUCCUGGAGCUCAACUCCAGAACUGCCUUUGAUACUGGCGAUCUUGAGUCCGGGAGAGGUGAGUGGAACUGCGAGUGUAGAGGUGAAAUUCGUAGAUAUUCGCAAGAACACCAGUGGCGAAGGCGGCUCACUGGCCCGGUACUGACGCUG
rnacentral:rRNA from 1 species